rnacentral:piRNA from 1 species
GAUCCUUUGCUAAGGUAUUGUGU